UCUUGGUCAUGAUGUUUGUUGCAG
rnacentral:misc_RNA from 1 species